UGUUUGUAGGUGGCAGCCCUGAAGGAUGGCAGAGGAAGGCCGAACGGUGUGCGUUCACGGUUUGCCAACAGACGUGGAUCACGAACGGCUCCGGGACAAACUUCUGAUUCACUUCCUCCGCCAGAGGAACGGAGGAGGAGAGGUCACGUCCGUCACUAUCAUCGCGCGGACACCUCUGCGUGCCCUAGUCACAUUUGAGGAGAGCACGGUGGUCCAGAGUGUACUUCGCCAUCAUCCUCACAUUUUACUGCUAGAUGGCAUGAAAUAUGAACUCUCCCUGAGUCUACCAAGACAAGUCUCCCAGAGUCUAAAUAAGGUGAUCCUCGAUAUGACUGUGACUAUAGAUUGCAGUCAGCUUCCACACGGUGCAGAGACUCUGAAUGUACUGCGCAGUGAGUUUCCUGGUCUACGUAUGCAAAGUGGCUUAUUGCAGGACACACGCACCUUGCAAGGCAACUACUCGUGAGUU
rnacentral:lncRNA from 1 species